rnacentral:rRNA from 1 species
CGCGUAGGCGGAAUAUUAAGUCAGUGGUGAAAUCCUGCAGCUUAACUGUAGAACUGCCAUUGAUACUGGUAAUCUUGAAUUUAGUUGAGGUGGGCGGAAUGUGUAAUGUAGCGGUGAAAUGCUUAGAUAUUACACAGAACACCGAUUGCGAAGGCAGCUCACUAAACUAACAUUGACGCUGAGGCACGAAAGCGUGGGGAGCGAACAGGAUUAGAUACCCUGGUAGUCC